rfam:Myotis davidii contig9367, whole genome shotgun sequence.
GGUGGUUCUCAGGUGACAUAUCCUGAAAUCGGGCUCCCUCCUCUCCGGUUCCAAGUGCAUCAUUCAAGAACCACA